rnacentral:lncRNA from 1 species
AAAGACAAGCACGAGUCAUUUGUCGACAGAUGGGGGGAGUUUAUGGAAGUUAUUAAUUAAAUCUAUUCUCGAUAUGAUCAUGUAUAUUUAAUGUAUUCCAAAGCAUCUUUUACUUGUAUCAUAUACCGAUUAUUCACAUCAUUUACUUGUAUUUGUUUUUUACUAUGUCUUAUUCGAAAAAUAUCAAUAGUAUGACUAUGCCAUAGGUCAAUCACUUAUGUAUUGUAAAAAUGUAUGUAUGUAUGUAUGCACUGUAGUUUGAACACCAAAAAGAUCAAUAAAAAAUAAAAA